rnacentral:lncRNA from 1 species
UGGCUCCAGGCACAGAGGGAUGCCAGGGAAGGAGGAAGGCUGAGGGAUUCAAGCAUCCCCAUCCUGGGGCUUGGAUCAAGGGCUGAGCUUUAUGCUGCAGACGAGGAGGGGACAAACCCAAGGUCACCCACGGACCUGGAGAGCUUGCAAAGAGGUGGAGGCACAGAGCAGGCACCUCUCCCAUCUCCCUUUUGCACCCAGCAAGGCCGAGCAGCGAAGCCACGAGGAGAGCAGUGGGGGACCUGCUGGGAGCAGCAUCGCUCUGCAUCACGGAGAGCACACAGAGCCCUUCAGCCCCAGGAAAUCAAAGGCAGAACGCUCAGAGCGGCGGCAUCCCGACUGUAUAGCAGAGCCCCGAGGAGACACUUCUGCCCCAUAGAUAAGCAGCUCGGCUCUCACACAGCCCCCUCCAAGCAAAGCUCCCAUCGCUGCCUCCAUCUUAACGCCGCUCCUCACUCCCAAACCAGGAGACUCAGAGCUCCCGCUCGGCUCUUCCUCACCCUCCUCAUCCUCUCCGGCUCCACGGGGGAAGGCUUUUGCCAUCCGAGCUCAUUAGGAUCGCUCCCUUUCUUUAAGCGAUCCUUGCUAAUUAGCGCCAGGCUCCGCCACCCCUCGGAGGUGACGCGCGGUGACUCAGUGGCAGCGGUCCCACAUCACGGUGGUCCCCCCCCCGGCCCCCAAACUCACACAGCACGAGGGGAACACGCAGCCGGGGCUCAGCAGAGCAGGCCGAGGGGAAACACCGCAGGGAGACGCGCUGAACCCCGGGCUCUCACCUUCGCAAGCAGUUUGCGUGCAGCUCCGCGGCGCGCAGCCGGCAUUUAUUGCGGGGGGGGGGGAAGGGGGAUGCUCAGAGCUGCGCUCCUCAUUCAGGCUCGUUUUAGCGUCGUGACACAGGAGCAGUUCGCUUUUGGGGAUGAAUCAGAGCUGCCUCCGCUUCUGCCUUACAUCCCCCCCCAGCACCCAGGUGGUCCAAACAGCCCCCGGCCCCCCACGAGCGAGCAGACGCGUGGCUAUGGCAGCCCUGCCGCCGUUUGUCACCUGCUCCACCCCGGAGGUGGGCACAAUUCCCGCAGCCCCAGCUCUGCUUUCGUACCAUUGAAGGGUUUAGAGCGAGUUUUCAUCAAUGGAUUCCAGAAAAAAAAAAAAAACCAAAACCAAAAACAGAAAGGGCAGUUUUGCGGGUGGGUCACGAGGCAGUCACAGCAACCCCGGAGGAGGGGAACGUCGGCGCCGUCGGGAGCGUAG